UACAGAGGCCUCGAGCGUUAGGCGGAAUCACUGGGCUUAAAGCGUGUGUAGGUGGGUCCGUAAGUACCUUGUGAAAUCCCAUGGCUCAACCAUGGAACUGCUGGGUAUACUGCGGGUCUUGAGCUAUCUAGAGGUUACUGGAACAAACGGUGGAGCGGUGAAAUGCGUAGAUAUCGUUUGGAACGCCAAUGGUGAAAACAGGUAACUGGGGAUAUGCUGACACUGAGACACGAAAGCCAGGGAGCAAACGG
rnacentral:rRNA from 1 species